rnacentral:rRNA from 1 species
UACGGGGGAUGCAAGCGUUAUCCCGGAAUCAUUGGGCGUAAAGCGUCCGCAGGUGGUUUAUCAAGUCUGCUGUCAAAGCGUGGAGCUUAACUCCGUAUCGGCGGUGGAAACUGAUGAACUAGAGGGUGGUAGGGGUCACGGGAAUUCCCAGUGUAGCGGUGAAAUGCGUAGAUAUUGGGAAGAACACCAGCGGCGAAAGCGCGUGACUGGGCCAUUACUGACACUCAUGGACGAAAGCUAGGGGAGCGAAAGGGAUUAGAUACCCCUGUAGUCCUAGCCGUAAACGAUGGACACUAGGUGUUGCCCGUAUCGACCCGGGCAGUGCCGUAGCUAACGCGUUAAGUGUCCCGCCUGGGGAGUACGCACGCAAGUGUGAAACUCAAAGGAAUUGACGGGGGCCCGCACAAGCGGUGGAGUAUGUGGUUUAAUUCGAUGCAACGCGAAGAACCUUACCAGGGCUUGACAUGUCGCGAAUCCCCUUGAAAGGGGGGAGUGCCUUCGGGAGCGCGAGCACAGGUGGUGCAUGGCUGUCGUCAGCUCGUGUCGUGAGAUGUUGGGUUAAGUCCCGCAACGAGCGCAACCCACGUUUCUAGUUGCCAGCAUUCAGUUGGGCACUUUAGAGAGACUGCCGGUGACAAACCGGAGGAAGGUGUGGAUGACGUCAAGUCAGCAUGCCCCUUACGUCCUGGGCUACACACGUACUACAAUGCUUCGGACAGAGGGUUGCCAGCCCGCGAGGGUGAGCUAAUCCCGUAAACCGAGGCUCAGUUCAGAUUGCAGGCUGCAACUCGCCUGCAUGAAGGCGGAAUCGCUAGUAAUCGCCGGUCAGCAUACGGCGGUGAAUACGUUCCCGGGCC